UGAUAAAUACAUGCCCGGCGUCGACAUCUCCGACACGAACUAUAUUUUUGGCUACACCCAGGGGAUGAUCCUUGAGCAGAUCAUCAAGCAGUGCGGUAAUGAUCUUUCCCGCGAAAAUAUUCUUAAGCAGGCCAAAAAUCUGAAGGACAUUGCUCUUCCGUCUGUGUUGCCUGGCGUUCUGGUCAACACGAGCGAGAGCGUGAAUCAGGACUUCACCCAGAUGCGUCUGCAGCGCUGGACGGGC
rnacentral:misc_RNA from 1 species